rnacentral:piRNA from 1 species
UGACCUCCACCAAGACUUACAUCCUUCUU